GGGGCGGUGGCCAAGCUGGUUAAGGCAGUGGGCUCAUAACCCAACGAUCGUCGGUUCAAGUCCGACCCGCCCCACCG
rnacentral:tRNA from 1 species